UGGGGAAUCUUGCGCAAUGGGCGAAAGCCUGACGCAGCAACGCCGCGUGGGGGAUGACGGCUUUCGGGUUGUAAACCCCUUUCAGCAGGGACGAAAAUGACGGUACCUGCAGAAGAAGCCCCGGCCAACUACGUGCCAGCAGCCGCGGUAACACGUAGGGGGCGAGCGUUGUCCGGAAUUAUUGGGCGUAAAGAGCUCGUAGGCGGUUCGGUAAGUCAGGCGUGAAAUUUCAGGGCUCAACCCUGAGACUGCGCCUGAUACUGCUGUGACUAGAGUCCGGUAGAGGAGUGUGGAAUUCCUGGUGUAGCGGUGAAAUGCGCAGAUAUCAGGAGGAACACCAGCGGCGAAGGCGGCACUCUGGGCCGGUACUGACGCUGAGGAGCGAAAGCGUGGGUAGCAAACAGGAUUAGAUACCCCCGUAGUCC
rnacentral:rRNA from 1 species